GAUGAAGAACGCAGCGAAAUGCGAUAAGUAAUGUGAAUUGCAGAAUUCAGUGAAUCAUCGAAUCUUUGAACGCACAUUGCGCCCGCCAGUAUUCUGGCGGGCAUGCCUGUCUGAGCGUCAUUUCAACCCUCAUGCCCCUAGGGCGUGGUGUUGGGGAUCGGCCAAAGCCCGCGAGGACGGCCGGCCCCUAAAUCUAGUGGCGGACCCGUCGUGGCCUCCUCUGCGAAGUAGUGAUAUUCCGCAUCGGAGAGCGAUGAGCCCCUGCCGUUAAACCCCCAACUUUCCAAGGUUGACCUCAGAUCAGGUAGGAAUACCCGCUGAACUUAAGCAUAUCAAUAAGCGGAGGA
rnacentral:misc_RNA from 1 species